AUUGAACGCUGGCGGCAGGCUUAACACAUGCAAGUCGAGCGGGGGAAGGUAGCUUGCUACCGGACCUAGCGGCGGACGGGUGAGUAAUGCUUAGGAAUCUGCCUAUUAGUGGGGGACAACAUCUCGAAAGGGAUGCUAAUACCGCAUACGUCCUACGGGAGAAAGCAGGGGAUCUUCGGACCUUGCGCUAAUAGAUGAGCCUAAGUAGGAUUAGCUAGUUGGUGGGGUAAAGGCCUACCAAGGCGACGAUCUGUAGCGGGUCUGAGAGGAUGAUCCGCCACACUGGGACUGAGACACGGCACAGACUCCUACGGGAGGCAGCAGUGGGGAAUAUUGGACAAUGGGGGGAACCCUGAUCCAGCCAUGCCGCGUGUGUGAAGAAGGCCUUAUGGUUGUAAAGCACUUUAAGCGAGGAGGAGGCUACUCUAGUUAAUACCUAGGGAUAGUGGACGUUACUCGCAGAAUAAGCACCGGCUAACUCUGUGCCAGCCGCCGCAGUAA
rnacentral:rRNA from 1 species